rnacentral:lncRNA from 1 species
GGGACGACUGGUAUUUGGCGCCGAGCCCUAGUCGACGAAUGAGCAACACCGACCUUUGGUCAGUGGGCACCUUCGACCGAUCCCUCAUCGAGCGGCUCUCAACGCCAAUCUUAGGACAUCCAUAAUACAAUUCCGACUUAUCAUUGGCCAGACCGAUUCACAGUCGGCCGACCGACUAAAUAUCGAUGACUGCAAUGGACCUUCAGACUCGCAUUGCAGAAUGAGUCUCAGCCAAAUUACAACACGAUCACCCAAUUCUCAAUCGGUGAUAAGGAUGUGGACAUCCGACUAUUAGCCGAACACGUCGACAAACAUUCGGAUGCUCUCAAUCGACCCCUUAGCCAGACCAAGUCAACUGUGAAGGCUCGACUAACUCUUCUGCCAAUGUCCAGUCGGUAUCAGAAUCACGAACCGACAGUCAUUCGGAAUCCUACAAGUACCGACAUUCGGUCAGCACACUCAAACAACCAACAUAACGUCGACAUAUCAGAAACCACCAGUGCAAAAAGCGCAUAAUGGCCAUAUAUCAUGAUCAGUAGUGGGUAUAACCGCCCAUCCCACAAUCACAGUGCCGAAAUAAGCGAGACCCACGUGUCUAACCAUUAUAAACGGUUACCAACAACUCGUCUAUAAAAGAAAGUAAAUGAACAGUAUUGGUAAGAUAUUUUUGGACUAAUACUCUGCCUCUCUAAACAUUCAUCUGCUGUUCAUCACUUCCCACUGACUUAAGCAUCGGAGGGUCUCCGUCGGACAUAAUUUCUGUCAGUGCAGACUUCUUUCUGCAGCUGCACUUCUCCGACGACGGCACAACAAGGGAUUGGCCACAACAGGUAGGAUCUUUGAAAUUUGGAGGAUCUUCAACCAGAUAUCCCACCUUUCGUUGGAUACCAAUAAAUAGUUUGAACGAUUGGACCCACAAAAGGUAGUGCCAUUGAACUUUACUGUAGUUGCUGUUAGAUUUCUUAUCGCAACGUCAGAAUCGAAAGUCAGAGGUGUCGAGAUUUGUUUGUUGUCGUAAUUUGAGGAUGCCAUAGCAAUCAGAGAAAAAAAUAGAAAUAGCCAGACAACCAGGCAGGAGAGUUGUUUAUUAUCGUUAUUUGAGGAUGUUAUAACAAUUAGAGAAGAGGACAGAAAUAGCC